GAUGAACGCUGGCGGCGUGCCUAAUACAUGCAAGUCGAGCGAACAGACGAGGAGCUUGCUCCUCUGACGUUAGCGGCGGACGGGCGAGUAACACGUGGAUAACCUACCUAUAAGACUGGGAUAACUUCGGGAAACAGGAGCUAAUACCGGAUAAUAUAUUGAACCGCAUGGUUCAAUAGUGAAAGACGGUUUUGCUGUCACUUAUAGAUGGAUCCGCGCCGCAUUAGCUAGUUGGUAAGGUAACGGCUUACCAAGGCAACGAUGCGUAGCCGACCUGAGAGGGUGAUCGGCCACACUGGAACUGAGACACGGUCCAGACUCCUACGGGAGGCAGCAGUAGGGAAUCUUCCGCAAUGGGCGAAAGCCUGACGGAGCAACGCCGCGUGAGUGAUGAAGGUCUUCGGAUCGUAAAACUCUGUUAUUAGGGAAGAACAAAUGUGUAAGUAACUAUGCACGUCUUGACGGUACCUAAUCAGAAAGCCACGGCUAACUACGUG
rnacentral:rRNA from 1 species